AGUGAACGCUGGCGGUAGGCCUAACACAUGCAAGUCGAACGGCAGCACAGUAAGAGCUUGCUCUUACGGGUGGCGAGUGGCGGACGGGUGAGGAAUACAUCGGAAUCUACUUUUUCGUGGGGGAUAACGUAGGGAAACUUACGCUAAUACCGCAUACGACCUACGGGUGAAAGCAGGGGAUCUUCGGGCCUUGCGCGAUUGAAUGAGCCGAUGUCGGAUUAGCUAGUUGGCGGGGUAAAGGCCCACCAAGGCGACGAUCCGUAGCUGGUCUGAAAGGAUGAUCAGCCACACUGGAACUGAGACACGGUCCAGACUCCUACGGGAGGCAGCAGUGGGGAAUAUUGGACAAUGGGCGCAAGCCUGAUCCAGCCAUACCGCGUGGGUGAAGAAGGCCUUCGGGUUGUAAAGCCCUUUUGUUGGGAAAGAAAAGCAGCAGGUUAAUACCCCGCUGUUCUGACGGUACCCAAAGAAUAAGCACCGGCUAACUUCGUG
rnacentral:rRNA from 1 species